GACUGCUCCAGUGGCCUAGUGGUUAGAGCAUCUGCCUCGGAUGUGGGAGGUCAUGGGUUCGAUACCCAGCUGAGUCA